rnacentral:rRNA from 1 species
CCUACGGGUGGCAGCAGUCGAGAAUCAUUCACAAUGGGGGAAACCCUGAUGGUGCGACGCCGCGUGGGGGAAUGAAGGUCUUCGGAUUGUAAACCCCUGUCAUGUGGGAGCAAAUUAAAAAGAUAGUACCACAAGAGGAAGAGACGGCUAACUCUGUGCCAGCAGCCGCGGUAAUACAGAGGUCUCAAGUGUUGUUCGGAAUCACGGGGCGUAAAGCGUGCGGAGGCUGUUUCGUAAGUCGUGUGUGAAAGGCGCGGGCUCAACCCGCGGACGGCACAUGAUACUGCGAGACUAGAGUAAGGGAGGGGGAACCGGAAUUCUCGGUGUAGCAGUGAAAUGCGUAGAUAUCGAGCGGAACACUCGUGGCGAAGGCGGGUUCCUGGACAUUAACUGACGCUGAGGCACGAAGGCCAGGGGAGCGAAAGGGAUUAGAUACCCCAGUAGUC